rnacentral:rRNA from 1 species
AUAGAACGCUGGCGGCAGGCCUAACACAUGCAAGUAGCACGAGUGGCGGACGAGAGAGUAAUGUAUGGGAAAAUGCCUGAUGGAGGGGGAUACCUACUGGAAACGGUAGCUAAUACAGCAUACCAUCGGAUGUGCCAAGAGGGGAAUAGCUAGUAGGUGGGGUAAAGGCUAACCUAGGCGACGAUCCAUCGCUGGGCUGAGAGGAUGACCAGCAACACUGGAACUGAGCUACGGUCCAGAGUCCUACGGGAGGCUGCAGUGGGGAAUAUUGCACAAUGGGCGCAAGCCUGAUGCAGCCAUGCCGCGUGUAUGAAGAAGGCCUUCGGGUUGUAAAGUACUUUCAGCGGGUAGGCGUUACCCGCAGAAGAAGCACCGGCUAACUCCGUGCCAGCAGCCGCGUUAAUUC